rnacentral:tRNA from 1 species
CCCCAUCUGGCUCAGUCGGUAGAGCAUGCGAUUCUUGAUCUCAGGGUUGUGAGUUCAAGCCCCAUGUUGAGUG